GUCUGUGACCAUGCCACCGUGAACAAGCCCGAUGUCUGAUCUCGGAAGCUAAGCAGGGUCGGGCCUGGUUAGUACCUGGGAUAGGAGACCACUUAGGAAAACCAGGUGCUGUAGGCA
rnacentral:rRNA from 1 species